CCUUUCUCAAAGAUGGAAGCAACAUCUCUAGAUCUUCGCUUCAUCUUGGUUCUUGUUCUACUUCUGAAUCCAACAUUUGCAGGUGCAAGGGUGGAUCCACACAGAGCUCAAGUGGUGCACACCACACAGGAGGAUUGUAUUAUUGACAUUGGCUGGGUAGUGUUCUGCACCAAAAGGUUCUGCAAAUUUAGUUGCUGGGGUGAAGGUCUUAUAAAGAAGGGGAAAGUCCGAGACUAUUGGUGCAGUGAUUUUCACGGCUGCAACUGCUUGAUUUGCCGUGGCAUCUAAAAAAGCAGGGGCUGUUUUGUUAACCGUAUAUAGUACUAAAAGGUCUGGCUCCGUGUGUUAUCCCCUCCUGGCUGGGCUGCCCUCUCUCCCCCUCGUGGCAGCUGGCUCCAGGAUUGGUGGUCAUUCUCCAGGGUAUGUUUACCUGAGCACCUUCGCAGCGGCUUCGACUCCUUGGUAUUCCUAGUCUCCUGGCAGCUGUAGAAGGAACGAAACUUCAGGGUUUUCGACUCUGCGCUCGCUUCGGUCGCAGUGGUUCUAGAGUCCUUCCGCUCGGAGGGCCAGCUGUGGUCUUUAGCUAGUGUUACUUGUUUUGGGGAUUUCUUGGGAGUGUAGCGUGGCUCUGCCCCCCUCCCGCUGUUUGGAGUUGCGUUUUUAACCGUCGUAGUAGUUCCUAGCUUCAAGUCCCCCCUUUAGGCAUAAGCCAGUCUAGCUGAUUACUUUGUGUAACAAAAACUCUUUUCCUGCUAAUAUAUUGACGUGCAAUUCUUUUACGUGUUCA